rnacentral:rRNA from 1 species
CUACGGGGGGCUCCAGUAGGGAAUCUUCGGCAAUGGACGGAAGUCUGACCGAGCAACGCCGCGUGAGUGAAGAAGGUUUUCGGAUCGUAAAGCUCUGUUGUAAGAGAAGAACGAGUGUGAGAGUGGAAAGUUCACACUGUGACGGUAUCUUACCAGAAAGGGAUGGCUAACUACGUGCCAGCAGCCGCGGUAAUACGUAGGUCCCGAGCGUUGUCCGGAUUUAUUGAGGCGUAAAGCGAGCGCAGGCGGUUAGAUAAGUCUGAAGUUAAAGGCUGUGGCUUAACCAUAGUACGCUUUGGAAACUGUUUAACUUGAGUGCAGAAGGGGAGAGUGGAAUUCCAUGUGUAGCGGUGAAAUGCGUAGAUAUAUGGAGGAACACCGGUGGCGAAAGCGGCUCUCUGGUCUGUAACUGACGCUGAGGCUCGAAAGCGUGGGGAGCAAACAGGAUUAGAUACCCUGGUAGUC